rnacentral:rRNA from 1 species
AUUGAACGCUGGCGGCAUGCCUUACACAUGCAAGUCGAACGGUAACGGGCCUUCGGGUGCCGACGAGUGGAGAACGGGUGAGUAAUACAUCGGAACGUGCCCGAUCGUGGGGGAUAACGAGGCGAAAGCUUUGCUAAUACCGCAUACGAUCUACGGAUGAAAGCAGGGGACCGCAAGGCCUUGCGCGGACGGAGCGGCCGAUGGCAGAUUAGGUAGUUGGUGGGAUAAAAGCUUACCAAGCCGACGAUCUGUAGCUGGUCUGAGAGGAUGAUCAGCCACACUGGGACUGAGACACGGCCCAGACUCCUACGGGAGGCAGCAGUGGGGAAUUUUGGACAAUGGGCGCAAGCCUGAUCCAGCCAUGCCGCGUGCAGGAUGAAGGCCUUCGGGUUGUAAACUGCUUUUGUACGGAACGAAAAGCCUUCUUUUAAUACAGGAGGGUCAUGACGGUACCGUAAGAAUAAGCACCGGCUAACUACGUG